rnacentral:lncRNA from 1 species
AUUAACCUCCCCCCAUCAGACAUCAGAAUCCGUUCGGAUUCAGGGUCAGGCCCCUCUUCUGGGAUCGGUUCCUCACAAUCUUUCGAUUUGAGCACCUCGAGAUGCCUUCAUCAGGGAACUCAAACUUCCUUGGUUGAUAAUCCUCAAUGGGUUGCGGGGCGAUGUAAACGGACAAUACACUCCCCUCGAUUGCUUUCUGAGAGGUGUACGGAAUAUUGUAUUCAGUCAAUAUCGUUUGCCCUCUCGCAACCCGUCCGGUUAAUGCUGACUUCUCAAACGC